rnacentral:rRNA from 1 species
CUACGGGAGGCAGCAGUGGGGAAUAUUGGACAAUGGGCGCAAGCCUGACGCAGCAACGCCGCGUGCGGGAUGACGGCCUUCGUGGUUGUAAACCGCUUUCAGCAGGGACGAAAAUGACGGUACCUGCAGAAGAAGUCCCGGCUAACUACGUGCCAGCAGCCGCGGUAAUACGUAGGGGACAAGCGUUGUCCGGAUUCAUUGGGCGUAAAGAGCUCGUAGGCGGUCCAGUAAGUUGGGUGUGAAAGCUCCGGGCUCAACCCGGAGAGGUCACCCAAAACUGCUGUGACUAGAGUCCAGUAGAGGAGCGUGGAAUUCCUGGUGUAGCGGUGAAAUGCGCAGAUAUCAGGAGGAACACCAGUGGCGAAGGCGCCGCUCUGGGCCGUAACUGACGCUGAGGGACGAAAGCGUGGGUAGCGAACAGGAUUAGAUACCCUGGUAGUCC